ensembl:lncRNA
UCUCUUAUACUUACCUCUGAGUCUCCAGCGAUCUCCUUUGAGUCUCCAGCGAUCUUCUAUACUCACUGCGGUCUCCAGAGAUCUCCUAUACUCACCGCUGUCUCCAGAGAUCUCCUAUACUCACUGGUGAGUCUCCAGAGAUCUCCUAUACUCACCGCUGAGUCUCCAGAGAUCUCCUAUACUCACACCGCUGUCUACAGAGAUCUCCUAUACUCACCGCUGAGUCUCCAGCGACCACCUAUACUCUCCUUUAACUCUCCAGCGAUCCCCUAUACUCACCGCUGUGUCUCCAGCGACCCCCUAUACUCACCGCUGAGUCUCCAGCAAUCUCCUAUACUCACCGCUGUGUCUCCCGCGAUCUCCUAUACUCCCCGCUGAGUCUCCCGCGAUCUCCUAUACUCACCGCUGAGGCUCCAGCGAUCUCCGAUACUCACCGCUGAGUCUCCAGCGAGCUCC